rnacentral:misc_RNA from 1 species
CACUGCUCACAUGCACAAAACGAACACGCGAACACGCGACGCACAAAGAAAAUCGAAGGAAGCUUUCCACUGCGUGUCUCGGUGGCUUGCGAGCAAGGGAUUUGUUUGGAGCACCAGUCGCAGAGGCGGCACCGACACAGCGUACACUAGGCACCACGAAACGGCAGCUCUCAAGGAGACUUAGAGGGCAACACGAGAGGCAAGAGGCGAGCGGACAAGAGGGCCGUUGCAUCUCAUGCCGCUGUCACGGCAGAGCCUGUAACUCUUAACGUGCGCCCUUUUUUUUUUCGCUUUCUUGGUGCACGUCUGUGCAUAUUCUAAACGAGACUCGCUCAGCUGCUUCGUGGCGGCUGCGGAGCUCUCAUUGUUUGGUGUGUCUUGUAAGAAGUGCGUGCUGCGCGCUGCUUCAUCGCCGCUGUGUGCGCGUGUGUGCGCGUGCGUGCGUGUGUGUGUGUGUGUGCAGCUCUCCUUGCUUUUGCGGCCGAUUUCUUUCCUUAUCCUGUGCAUAGCAUGCUUCAAGUCAGCAGCAGCGGCGGAAUGCGUAAGCUGCCCGGCAAGCACAACUCCCCCGUUGCCGUGUCGGUUCCUGGGGGUGUGAUGCGUGUGGAAAGCGCGCGUCAUGGCAAGCGUCGUGCAUCACGUGUGUUUUACGUUGGUUGCCUCACUGCCGUUGCCUUGAUGCUCGUCUGCGCGUGCGUGCGCUACUUGGCAGUCUUACAAGGCUUCGAGGACUCGCAACGACUGACUUUUGCCGAUGAGCCGACUUCCAGGGACAACUUUAUCGCGAAGUGGAUGAAGGAGAUGGCGGCUCGCAGAGAGCAGAAAUGGACGUCGAGCCCGCCAGCCACGGCGCAUGGGAUGGUGGGGACAGGUAAGCCAACGGCAUCCAGCACUACUACCACCCCAACUGCGGCGCCAUCCUCUCCGCUUCCCAUAGUGACAAGACCGGUCCCCACGAGUGAUAAAGGCACACCAACGACUUCAUACCCGGAGAGAGACAAACCCAACCCCGAAGCGCCGCUAUCCCAGACGGAUUUCCCUGAGGCCACGCCCUUUACAGCGACGACGACAGUAGAUCUGCGCACAGUGAGGCCAGACAUGUACAAGUUAGGUCACACGCAGCACAAGGACUACGCCGAGUGCGACCCGGAGGAGCCGCACCUCCUGCCUGGGCUGCAGAUCCAGCGGCGCACCUUCACGCCGGCGGAGCUGCUUGAGCGCUUCGGCGACACGGACAUCAUCUACAGCUUCGUCAACGGCAGCGAGGCGAACCACCAGUAUCGAAAGCAGAUUCACCGCGUUUGCAUGCAGGCCAUACUCGACGCCGAGAGCAACGCCUUUCACGCCUCCGUGCUUGCCCCUGUUUCCGCUUACCACAAUGAUGCACCAAGGUGCCUGCCCGACUCUCUGUGGCGUCACAUCGGCCCUGAAAAGACUGUAGCCGACUUUGUUGGUGCUGUCGAAGCUGCUGCCGGCCACGGUGUCGACAACCGUGAUCGCGAGACGGACGAGCUGCGGCACAGCCUGCGCAGCGUGGAGCAGCACGUGCGGUGGCACCGCGGCCGCGUGGUGAUGGUGUCGCCCGGGCACCACCCGACGUGGGUGGACGGCGCGAAGAACUUCCUUGCUGGGAUGUGCGGCGGUGCGCGCGUGCAGGCGCUGCGGUCGAGCGGGACGCACCUGCGCGUGACGACUGUGCACCAGGACGCCGUGAUGCCGUACGGGAUGCGGCUGACGGUGGACUCGCACGUGAUCGAGCAGCACCUGUGGCGCGUGCGCAACAUGACACCCGUGCACGUGUACAUGAACGACGACUACUUUGUGAACCGCGACGUUGCGAUCACGGACCUGUUCAACGAGUACGGCGGCACGAUUGUGCGGACGGAGAGGGGCAUCAUUGCGGCCGGCGCUGUCGCAGAUAGAAGCGCUUCCUGGGCAAAGGGCGUGCUGCACACGCAGCAGUUCAACAUCAUGGAGCUGGACGUGCUGCGCGAGGACUACCUGCCGGAGGCCCUAGUCGCCAUGUGGGACAGUCUGAAGCGCGUAAACAGGAGCGCUGGUGCCGCUGCCGUGACUGCUAUUUCCGUACCACCCCUUGACGAGGCGGUCGAUGUCGCGCACCAAUACGAACCGGACCCGCUGCCCGGCAAGUCGCUCAUACCACGCCGCCCGCGCCGAUACACCACCCACGCGCCGUUCGUGUACUGCACGAAUAUGUUCCGCUUCUUCGAGACCCGCUACGAGCGCGAGUUUGCCGCGACAGCGCUUCGCCACCGCAGUCGCAAGGCGCGCGACCUCUUCAUCCCGUUUGUGUACAACGCCUUCAUCAUGGCGCGGCCGUGGCAGGCGUCGCCGAAGUUCCUGCCGUACCUGCUGGAGCUGCACCGGAGCCGACGACAGGGGCGGGCGGACGCGAUGCCGCCGACGGAGAUCGUGCUGGACAACGUCGACGGCUGCGGCCCCGCAUCGUUGCUCAGCGGCGCGACUGAGUCUGAUUGCGUGUUUGCCAAGUUCCUGAACGACUUAACGCUGAACAAGGCGGUGGUGGAGCGCGUGCGGCAGGUGAACCCGCUGUACUUCAACAUCAACGCCGGGUUCAGCAGCGCGGAGGCUGCGGACCAGCUGCGCCGCUUCCUGCACGGCAAGUUUCCGACUCCGGUGUACCUGGAGGUGGGCGGAGCCCCGCCCCCCGGCGAGGGCCUCGUAGACGGCGCGGGGGAGGUGGUGGGCGGCAGGACGAGGGCUGCCGGGGCCGCCGCGGCUGCUGAGGAGGAAGCGCUGUCGAGGCUGUUUGGCGACCUGAUGGCGCUGCCGGUGGUGGGCGUUGUGUCGUACGAGGAGGGCGUGUGCCCGCUUGUGCGGAGCCUUGCGCUUGCGUUCGCGGGGCACCACCGUGGCGGCGUGCGUGUGAGCGUGGAGCAGCACGGCGGCGCGGCGCUGCGUGAGGCGCGCGCUGCGCUUGGGCACCGCGUGAUGAGCGCGAUGCCUGCGCCUGCGUGCGCGUACAAGGAGCAGGUGAGCGUGGACCCCGCGGCACGGGGUGAGAGCGUUGCCGAGAUUGCCCGGCGCGCCAUGGGUGAAAUGCGGGGCGGCGUGGAGCUGCCGUCGACGUGCGGCGCCGGCGGCGCUGGGCUGCGCGUGCACGGGUUCGUGGUGGACGCGCGGACGCGCGGGGCGCCUGUGCGGAGCGCUGCUGCGCUGCGGGACGCGCUUGCGGUGCCUGCGCAGACGCUGUCGCUGGAGGACUUCCGCGCCGUUGCUGUUGGGCCGUCGGAGGGCGACGUGGUGCUGGUUGUGUCGCGCGAGGACGCGGAGGCGAAGGCGGUGCACUGGGUGAAUGGGGCGUCGGAGAGUGACCUGCUUGUGACGUACCCGCUGCCGGUGGAGGCGUACGAGGACAUGGGCGCGGAGGUGCGGUGGUCGGUGCCGUAGAGCGAUAUGCGGACGGGCUCUUGCGAGGUGCAGGGUUGUGGGGGCGGAGGUGCUGUGGGCGGGUGGCGGAGUGACGCAUAUUCCGUGCGCGUCGCGGCCGUGGCGUGCUGGGCGGUGUGCUGGAGAUGGCAAGCGGUGAUGCACAACGGAGCGUGUGUGAGCGGUGCGCCUCUCUCCCUUCAGCAACGCCCGCCUGCUGCUUGCAGCGGUGUUCAUAGGCGGCCUGACUCUCCCUCGCUCUCUGUGUGUGUGUGCUUGCGCCCCUCAUGCCCUUGAUCUGGCUCGCUCAGCGCUGGUGCUUGGCAAUGAUGCGGGGCGGUGUGGUGGCGCUGCCCCGCCCCCGCCGCUGAACUGGCAUGCGUGCUUUCGUGGCCGUUUUCCUUCUUUUCCCCGCGCCCUCUACGUCACACACUCGAUGAAGAAGGAUGCGGGCGGUGUCGCUGAGUCCUUGCGCCUGAGGUGGGCAUGGGCGGCAAUGAGACUGCGCAGUUGGCCGCGUUGGUGGGGGCGGACGGGUUGGCGAUGCGUGUGCGUGUGCGUCUCUCUUGUUGUUGUUGACACAUGUUUUCUUAGUUUUCUCAUCAUUCUCUUUUCCAGUGAUGUUUUUAUCUUUUCCGCCUUGUUUUGGGGUACAUGCUGAUCGGCGCACGCUCUCGGGAGCGUGCGUGCGUGUGCAGUGCCCUCCCUCGAAGUGGUCAACACGGCUGUGCUGUGGUGAAGAGGGCAGACGGGAGUGGAGGGGUAUCGCAGGAUGCUGAGGUCAGUUACGGGGGAGCGAGAGGCAGGCUGCAGGUGGCGGGUGGUGAUGUAUUCCCCUGAGGACGUGCACGCGCAGUACAAAGGCUACCGCCCUUUUCGCCCCUUCCUCUCUUCACCGCUGCCGUUCUGCCUCCGUGCCCCCCUCCCUCCCUUCCGUCACGCGGUUUCUUUCUGGUGCCGCUUGCGAGCUCGCCGCACCGAAUCCUCGCGCGGCGUCUUUGCCCUCCUUAUCGGCGCGCGCGUUGAUGGUCGUUUCCUUUUAUUUUUUCCCGUGUCUGCUCAUUGAUGCUGAAGGAUGGGGAGGGAGGGGGAGGGCGCCGCGGUGCGUGGUAUUUUACAUACACACACACGGGACAGCACCCCGCCCCCCGCCCCGUCCACCCCUUCUCUCCUCUUCCACCCCUGGAAUACUUCUCAAUCUCUCCGCCACGGAAAAGCAGCGGAAAAAGGCUGGUGAUGUGUAGCAGGUGGAAUGCGGUGGGUCCGUCUUGUUCUCUAUUCGUUUUCGAUUUGGAGUAUGUAUGUGUCGGAAGCGUUGCCGAGAGGUGCUCAUGGACGAUUUGUUGCUAGUGCCUCUCUGUCGUGUGUGCGUGUGCACCGCUCUGUCUCUUUUUCUCUGUCGUUGUUUUGAUGUGUUGGAGGUGGAGAAGGGUGGAGCACGUGGAGCAUGUUGCCGGCCGAGAAUCACGGCGCCGAACCAUAAUAAGCCCGACUAGCGGGUCCUGCACGAC